AUUGAACGCUGGCGGCGUGCUUAACACAUGCAAGUCGAACGGAGUGGCGAACGGGUGAGUAACACGUGGGUGACCUGCCCUGCACUUCGGGAUAAGCCUGGGAAAAUGGGUCUAAUACCGGCUAGUGUGGGAUGGGCCCGCGGCCUAUCAGUUUGUUGGUGGGGUAAUGGCCUACCAAGGCGGCGACGGGUAGCCGGCCUGAGAGGGUGGACGGCCACAUUGGGACUGAGACACGGUCCAGACUGCUACGGGAGGCAGCAGUGGGGAGUAGUGCGCAAUGGGCGGACGCCUGAUGCAGCGACGCCGGGUGGGUGAUGACGGCCUUCGGGUUGUAAACUCCUUUCCCCGUCGACGCGGUAGAUGGAGAAGAAGCACCGGCUAACUACGUGCCAGCAGCCGCGGUAAUAC
rnacentral:rRNA from 1 species